AUUGAACGCUGGCGGCAGGCUUAACACAUGCAAGUCGAACGAGGGGAGGACGGGUGAGUAAUGUUGGGGAAUCUAGCUUAUGGAGGGGGAUAACUACGGGAAACGGUAGCUAAUACCGCGUACCAUAGGAUGAGCCCAAGUGGGAUUAGGUAGUUGGUGAGGUAAAGGCUAACCAAGGCGACGAUCCCUAGCUGGUCUGAGAGGAUGACCGGCCACACUGGGACUGAGACACGGCCCAGACUCCGACGGGAGGCAGCAGUAGGGAAUAUUGCGCAAUGGGGGCAACCUGACGCAGCCAUGCCGCGUGAAUGAAGAAGGCCUUCGGUUUGUAAAGUUCUUUCAGUAGCGAGGCGUUAACUACAGAAGAAGCACCGGCUAACUCCGUGCCAGCAGCCGCGGUAAUUC
rnacentral:rRNA from 1 species